UGUUUCUCUACAUCGCGAUCACUGCCUUGCGACGGCUUGUGAUCUAACUGUAGGCCUAGGGAAAGUUAUUUUUGGUCCCACGUUUUUUUCCUAGUAAGUGUGAACACGUGCGGGUGUUAAUUUCACACGUGCGGAUUCACACAGGAAUAUGUCGUAUACAUUUAAUACGUGUAAAUGAAUACAGAAGCAAAUAGCCUCUGGAUACACUUAAUUUGCACUCAUACAAGAGAAAAGCCGUAUAUGUGUGUAUAGCUGUAUGUGUGCGAUACAUGUGAAUACAACAGAUGUACGUGCUACCUCCGGCAAUCUCCAGAAGCACGUGAACAGUCACGCAAGAGAAAGGUAUAUCAUUGACAACGAAAUCGCUGUUAUGAUAGGAGAUGAUCCUAGAAGGAAUAGAAAAAGAACACGUUCCCCAGAAGAGCUAACCACACGCACAAGAACUCGCGUCCUUACACAAUGUGCUUGCAUGCAAUACACGUGAACGUGGGUGUACUAUCUCCCGUAG
rnacentral:lncRNA from 1 species